AUCGUUAGCAGAGUCAUAAUGCCGCCAAACUUCCGCCCACCGACUGCCGCGCUGAAUUGCGAAAAGUAAGUCGUGCGUUGGCCCGGUCCUUUCGGUUCCGGAUUCCUCAGCCCCCAGCCCCCCGGGGUCGUCAGGAUCGGGCCUGUGCCGCAGCUAGUUUCCUGAUCCAUGUUGGGCCAACGAAAGUUGGUCCUUUU
rnacentral:sRNA from 1 species